AGCAGCCGCGGUAAUUCCAGCUCCAAUAGCGUAUAUUAAAGUUGUUGCAGUUAAAAAGCUCGUAGUUGAAUUUCGGGAUCGGCAUGUUGGUCGUGCCUUACGGGGUAUGAACUGGCAUCGCCGGUUUCUCACCUUCUGGAGAAUCGUGAUGCUCUUAAUUGGGUGUUACGUGGAUCCAGGACCUUUACCUUGAAAAAAUUAGAGUGUUUAAAGCAGGCAUAUUGCUCGAAUACAUUAGCAUGGAAUAAUAAAGUAGGACGGUUUGGUUCUAUUUUGUUGGUUUCUAGGAUCACCGUAAUGAUUAAUAGGGAUAGUUGGGGGCAUUAGUAUUCAAUUGUCAGAGGUGAAAUUCUUGGAUUUAUUGAAGACUAACUACUGCGAAAGCAUUUGCCAAGGAUGUUUUCAUUAAUCUAAGAACGAAAGUUAGGGGAUCGAAGACGAUCAGAUACCGUCGUAGUCUUAACCAUAAACCUAUGCCGACUAGGAAUCAGACGAUGUUAAUUUUUUAAUGUACUCGUUU
rnacentral:rRNA from 1 species